GCUAUUGGAUGUGGUAUCAAGAAGCUUCAGAUUAUGCUUGCCAUUGUGAUCGACUUGGUAUCGGUCAAUACACUUAUCGAAGAGCGUCUCAAGGAAGCACCAAUAAAUGAGUAUGUCCAAAGUUAUGAUAUUGUGGCCUUCAAUAAAAUAUAAUUCACUGAUACAUUCACCAAUUGGGAAUGUGCAAUCGAACGUUUGGAGUGUAGGUUCUGUUUUGCAUUUAUGGUCGAAGUUUUUCCAUUGCCAUUUUAAAUUGUGUUCCGUUUAUGGCUAUAUGAAUUUUCCAGACUCGUACAAUUCGAAUGUGGACUUGGCAAUAUGUCCAAUAUCAUUGUCGUGUGACAUUAAAUUAUUGUUUCAUUAUCUUUUGUUGGAAUUUUCAUUUAGUA